UUUCCUUCGGGACUGAUUAUUUUGUGACUGAGUGGCGGACGGGUGAGUAACGCGUGGGUAACCUGCCUUGUACAGGGGGAUAACAGUUGGAAACGGCUGCUAAUACCGCAUAAGAUUACAGUACCGCAUGAUACAGUGAUCAAAGGAGCAAUCCGCUGAAAGAUGGGCUCGCGUCCGAUUAGAUAGUUGGUGAGGUAACGGCUCACCAAGUCGACGAUCGGUAGCCGGACUGAGAGGUUGAACGGCCACAUUGGGACUGAGACACGGCCCAAACUCC
rnacentral:rRNA from 1 species